rnacentral:lncRNA from 1 species
UCUAUUCUUUUAGUCUCAGGCUAUGAUUUCUCAUGCUUCUUUUUACGCUUAAAAGUUCAUGUUCCCAUACCACAUUUUCAGCGCUUCAUUCGAUUGCUAUGAUGCCUAUCAUUUUAGUCUCAAUGGUUGAGGUGUAUGUUUCUAUUUCUUAAAAUAAGCUUUCAUUAAAUGUGAUAAAUACAUAGGUUUCUACUAAUUUAUGUGAUUUAUCAAAAUAGAUUGAAGUCCUUGGAAUGACAAAACAUUGUAAGCACAUAUCUUUCAUAGGUUGAACAGGAAGGAUUACUUUAUAAAUAAAUUAGCUGCAAGACCUACCUGCCGAACUAAUGCAAAAAUAACUGGAAAAACAAGAUCUGUUAUUGAAACAAUCCAAAAUCAAUCACAACAGAUUGAAUCAAAUUUUAAGACCAUAGAAAUCGAAAAACUCAAAUCGAGGUAGAAUUCACAAAUCACUGUCGCCUGAAACACCCUAAAUUUCUUCAACUUCAACCUAGUGGAACAAACUAAAUCUUAACCUACAAAUCUCAAACAAAUCUGAUUAAAUUACUUACCUAAUACAUACAUAUAAACAAAUAUUAUCAUUGUACCUUUUCAUGGUUGCCAAAAAACGAUCUAGUAUGUACAAACAAUCUGCGGCAGCGUCUUUAACGAUUCACGAUUUCAAUUUUCAAAACAUAAAAAGUAAAUAAUAAUUCAAUAAAAUUAAAACAUAAAAAACUAUUUCGAGAUACACUUUCUUCCGAAGACGAACAACAAGGUAGCAAAACAGAUGCGUGUGCUUACACCUCCGAAGCAAAAGAAUGAAUCGAAUCAAAGAUUUCAGUUCAGAGGUGAAGACACACGUAUCAGUUUCACUAACCUAGACACAAGCCCUUCUUGCGCAGCCGAAAACAACACGAACCCUAAAGAUGAAGUUAGUAAGGUGGGAUGAUGGUGAUUUAUAUAGCGUUUCAUUAGGUCAAACACAAGGAGGGUUUCGUAAUUUUGCCAUGUGUUAUUUUUUCUUUUCUUUUUUUCUAAGCCCAAAAUUCUUACCGUGUUUUAAUCGAAU